GGGCGCAAGCCUGAUCCAGCAAUGCCGCGUGUGUGAAGAAGGCCUUCGGGUUGUAAAGCACUUUUAUCAGGAGCGAAAUACUACUGGCUAAUAACCGGUGGGGCUGACGGUACCUGAGGAAUAAGCACCGGCUAACUUCGUGCCAGCAGCCGCGGUAAUACGAAGGGUGCAAGCGUUAAUCGGAAUUACUGGGCGUAAAGCGUGCGUAGGCGGUUAUUUAAGUCUGUUGUGAAAUCCCCGGGCUCAACCUGGGAAUGGCAAUGGAUACUGGAUAGCUAGAGUGUGAUAGAGGAUGGUGGAAUUCCCGGUGUAGCGGUGAAAUGCGUAGAGAUCGGGAGGAACAUCAGUGGCGAAGGCGGCCAUCUGGAUCAACACUGACGCUGAGGCACGAAAGCGUGGGGAGCAAACAGGAUUAGAUACCCUGGUAGUCCACGCCCUAAACGAUGCGAACUGGAUGUUGGUCUCAACUCGGAGAUCAGUGUCGAAGCUAACGCGUUAAGUUCGCCGCCUGGGGAGUACG
rnacentral:rRNA from 1 species